rnacentral:lncRNA from 1 species
GUUGGAGUCCAGAUCUUCUGGGUGAUGUAUGAAAAACUGGGUGAAACUUCAUUGCUAUAAGUGUAGAGAGUAUCAGACCAGAAGGUUUAUUAAUGAUCUGUGCUGGAACUGAAAGGUUUGAAAUAGAGAUUUAUGUUUUUAAAUAGCCUAUUUUGAGUCAUUUUGAGUUUCUCUGUGCCCUUGGUGCCCUUGGUUGUUGGAAUCCUUGUCCUGUGUGGUGCUGGGAGUGCCCUGAUCACCCCUGCUGACAGCACUGGGGGCUCCAGUUCAGUGAGGCUGUGUCUGUUUUCAGGGAGCAGCACAAACACUUUCUGAAAUUUUUUCAGUGCUUAUUUAAUUAUGUACCCAUCUCUCAGCUAGAGCAUGAUAUCCUGGGGGCCUCAGAAGGAAAACAAGAUCCUGGAAUCCACUCUUAACUGCCUGGUCUUUGGAGUGAUGGGUUAAAGCAGACCUCCCUCAUGAAGGACGGGCUGCCUGAUUUUAGUGACCUGUGCAUGCUUUUCCAGCCUGGGAAAGAAUAUUCUUGGGAAUAAAGAAGGUUCGGUCUUGCCUCGUUUGUGCGUUCCUGAUGUGCCCCACAGGCUGAUUGUGGCAUUUGGUAGCACAGCCUGUUCCCCCUUUGCUGGACUUUUCAGGGUGCUUUGGGCUCGAUGUCCUGGAGCAUGGACAGCCAGAGGAGUCAUAACCACAAAGUGGUGAAGGGAAGCAAAGACAGAGACAUGAAGCACUCUUGGGCCGGAAAAUGCAGAAACAUAAUAAUCAUUGUGCUAAAGUGAAGAGCUGGACUGGUGAGAUGGUCUGAGGCAUCAGCAGGGGAGAAGGACCAACUGGGAGGGAAA